rnacentral:rRNA from 1 species
ACGAACGCUGGCGGCACGCUUAACACAUGCAAGUCGAACGAGAGAAGAGGAGCUUGCUUUUCUGAUCUAGUGGCGGACGGGUGAGUAACACGUGAGCAAUCUGCCUUUCAGAGGGGGAUACCGAUUGGAAACGAUCGUUAAUACCGCAUAAUAUAAUUGAACCGCAUGAUUUGAUUAUCAAAGAUUUAUCGCUGAAAGAUGAGCUCGCGUCUGAUUAGCUAGUUGGUAAGGUAACGGCUUACCAAGGCGACGAUCAGUAGCCGGACUGAGAGGUUGAUCGGCCACAUUGGGACUGAGACACGGCCCAGACUCCUACGGGAGGCAGCAGUGGGGAAUAUUGCACAAUGGAGGAAACUCUGAUGCAGCGAUGCCGCGUGAGGGAAGAAGGUUUUAGGAUUGUAAACCUCUGUCUUCAGGGACGAAAAAAGACGGUACCUGAGGAGGAAGCUCCGGCUAACUACGUGCCAGCAGCCGCGGUAAUACGUAGGGAGCGAGCGUUGUCCGGAAUUACUGGGUGUAAAGGGAGCGUAGGCGGGAUCGCAAGUCAGAUGUGAAAACUAUGGGCUUAACCCAUAAACUGCAUUUGAAACUGUGGUUCUUGAGUGAAGUAGAGGUAAGCGGAAUUCCUAGUGUAGCGGUGAAAUGCGUAGAUAUUAGGAGGAACAUCAGUGGCGAAGGCGGCUUACUGGGCUUUAACUGACGCUGAGGCUCGAAAGCGUGGGGAGCAAACAGGAUUAGAUACCCUGGUAGUCCACGCCGUAAACGAUGAUUACUAGGUGUGGGGGGACUGACCCCUUCCGUGCCGCAGCAAACGCAAUAAGUAAUCCACCUGGGGAGUACGACCGCAAGGUUGAAACUCAAAGGAAUUGACGGGGGCCCGCACAAGCAGUGGAGUAUGUGGAUUAAUUCGAAGCAACGCGAAGAACCUUACCAGGUCUUGACAUCGUAUGCAUAGCUCAGAGAUGAGUGAAAUCUCUUCGGAGACAUAUAGACAGGUGGUGCAUGGUUGUCGUCAGCUCGUGUCGUGAGAUGUUGGGUUAAGUCCCGCAACGAGCGCAACCCUUACUGUUAGUUGCUACGCAAGAGCACUCUAGCAGGACUGCCGUUGACAAAACGGAGGAAGGUGGGGAUGACGUCAAAUCAUCAUGCCCCUUAUGACCUGGGCCUCACACGUACUACAAUGGCUGUAAACAGAGGGAAGCAAAGCCGCGAGGUGGAGCGAACCCCUAAAAGCAGUCUUAGUUCGGAUUGUAGGCUGCAACCCGCCUACAUGAAGUCGGAAUUGCUAGUAAUCGCAGAUCAGCAUGCUGCGGUGAAUACGUUCCCGGGCCUUGUACACACCGCCCGUCACGCCAUGGGAGUCGGUAACACCCGAAGCCUGUAGUCUAACCGCAAGGAGGACGCAGUCGAAGGUGGGAUUGAUGACUGGGGUG